rnacentral:rRNA from 1 species
GCCCAUCAGCUAGCCGCCCCAACCAAAAGCAACAAAGCCCUAUCAAUACCCCCCAAAAUACUCAAAACACACCAAACAAACCAUUUUUCCUCCCAAGUACGGGCGACAGAAAAGGAACCGUCGCGCCAUAGAGAAAGUACCGCAAGGGAAUGCUGAAAGAGAAAUGAAACAAACCAGUAAAGCCCCAAAAAGCAGAGAUUUGUACUCGUACCUUUUGCAUCAUGAAUUAGCCAGAAAAUCUCAAGCAAAGAGCACUUUAGUUUGACUCCCCGAAACUACGUGAGCUACUUCAAGACAGCCUAACAAUAGGGCAAACCCAUCUCUGUAGCAAAAGAGUGGGAUGAGCUUUGAGUAGCGGUGACAGACCUAUCGAACCUAGUUAUAGCUGGUUGCCUGAGAAAUGAAUAGAAGUUCAGCCUUUCGAGUUCUCCCCUCAACCCCGUCUUCACCCCCGGACAGCCAAAGAAACCGAAAGAGUUAGUUAAAGGGGGUACAGCCCCUUUAACACAAGAUACAACUUUCCCAGGAGGGCAGAGAUCAUAUCUUAAUACUAAGGUGAAAUGUUUUGGUGGGCCUAAAAGCAGCCACCCCUAUAGAAUGCGUUAAAGCUCAAAUAUAAUCACCACCCCCAAUCCUGACAAUCCCAUCUUAACCCCCUAACCGUACCAGGCCGCCCCAUGCUUGCAUGGGGGUGACCAUGCUAGUAUGAGUAAUAAGAGAACACAUCGCCUCUCUCCACGCACAAGUGUAACUCGGAUCGGACCCCCCGCCGAACCUUAACGGUCCCAAACAAAGAGGGCCCUGAACAACAGACCCGCCAACUAGAAAAACGCUCAACAUUCAACCGUUGAACCCACACUGGAGUGCCCCCGAGGAAAGACUAAUAGAAAAAGAAGGAACUCGGCAAACACACAAAGCCUCGCCUGUUUACCAAAAACAUCGCCUCUUGCCAACAACGAAUAAGAGGUCCAGCCUGCCCAAUGACCAUGUGUUUAACGGCCGCGGUAUUUUGACCGUGCAAAGGUAGCGCAAUCACUUGUCUUCUAAAUAAAGACCCGUAUGAACGGUAAAACGAGGGCUUAACUGUCUCCUUUUUCAUGUCAAUGAAAUUGAUCUUCCCGUGCAGAAGCGGGAAUCUCCCCAUAAGACGAGAAGACCCUAUGGAGCUUUAGACACCUGAACAGACCACGUCAAAGCCCCCUGAUAAAGGCCCAAACUAAAUGAACCCUGUCCCAGUGUCUUUGGUUGGGGCGACCACGGGGAACUACACAACCCCCAUGUGGAAUGGAAGCAUUUUGCUGCCACAACUAAGAGCUCCCGCUCUAAUAAACAGAAUUUCUGACCAAUACAGAUCCGGCAAAGCCGAUCAACGAACCUAGUUACCCUAGGGAUAACAGCGCUAUCCUCUUUCAGAGCCCCCAUCGACAAGAGGGUUUACGACCUCGAUGUUGGAUCAGGACAUCCUAAUGGUGCAACCGCUAUUAAGGGUUCGUUUGUUCAACGAUUAAUAGUCCUACGUGAUCUGAGUUCAGACCGGAGCAAUCCAGGUCAGUUUCUAUCUAUGCUUUAAUCUUUUCUAGUACGAAAGGACCGAAAAGAAAGGGCCCAUACUUUAAGCACGCCCCACCCUUACCUGAUGUAAGCAACUAAAAACAGACAAAAGGACACAUUUAUUUGAAGGCACCCCCGCCUAAGAAAAUGGCU